AGCGAGACGAGAGCUUUGAUUCCUUCCAAAACUGUACAAUUUUGUUCAAUCCAUGGCUACAAAUUUGGGCGAGGCAAAAGGAAGCUUCAUCAAAAGGUAAUCAUCUUCAUCGUUCGCCUAGUUUCCACACAAGGGACGUUGCAAGAUGACGAUGGACUUCCGAUCAAACUCGCUUGGCAGAACGACGCUAUCGCUGAAUCCUCUGCGCAUCGGAUUCCGUCCACCGAAGGUGUGUCAAUUCCAAGUCUCUUGUGAAAAAAGAAUGCCUGCUCUACAUCUCAACCCUCAAAGAUUCAGACAUCUAAUUGCUUUAAGUUUUCAAGCUUUGGUCGGUGACAAUUAUGGGGCUGUAGUCUUAGCCAAUGUCAAUCAAGCCAAGCAAUCAUAACUAGGCAAUGAGAUGAAGGUUAAGACAUCUAACUGCUUCGAGUUUUCAAACUUUAGUCGGCGACAGUUACAAGGUUGUAAUCUUAGCCAAUGUCUAGAGCCAAGUGACACGAUCAUGCUCGUCCAGGGCGUAUUGUCCAUGGCCCCCAUGUUCAUGCCGCGCUAAACCCUCUAUUUUGUUCCAUGUUGUAUUACCCUACUAUUGUAUUUUCUGUUUGUAUAACUGUUCAGCGAAAUCAU